rnacentral:rRNA from 1 species
UAAGGAAUAUUGCGCAAUGGGCGAAAGCCUGACGCAGCGACGCCGCGUGGGGGAUGAAGGUCUUCGGAUUGUAAACCCCUUUCGGGAGGGAAGAUGGAAUGGGGUAACCCAUUCGGACGGUACCUCCAGAAGCAGCCACGGCUAACUUCGUGCCAGCAGCCGCGGUAAUACGAAGGUGGCAAGCGUUAUUCGGAUUUACUGGGCGUACAGGGAGCGUAGGCGGUUCGGUAAGCCCUUCUGUGAAAUCUUCAGGCUUAACCUGGAAAAGUCGGAGGGGACUGCUGGGCUAGAGGACGGGAGAGGAGCGCGGAAUUCCCGGUGUAGCGGUGAAAUGCGUAGAGAUCGGGAGGAAGGCCGGUGGCGAAGGCGGCGCUCUGGAACGUUUCUGACGCUGAGGCUCGAAAGCGUGGGGAGCAAACAGGAUUAGAUACCCGAGUAGUCCCUGAGCGGGCUGGCAAGGCGCAU